rnacentral:rRNA from 1 species
AGCAAACGCUGGCGGCGUGCCUAAUACAUGCAAGUCGAACGGGGAAAGUAGCAAUACGAGUACUAGUGGCGCACGGGUGAGGAACACGUGGGUAAUCUGCCUUCGAGCGGGGGAUAACUAAUCGAAAGAUUGGCUAAUACCGCAUAAGACCACAAGAUCUGCGGAUCUAGGGGUCAAAGCCGCAAGGCACUUGAAGAUGAGCCCGCGUAAGAUUAGCUAGUUGGUGAGGUAACGGCUCACCAAGGCGAUGAUCUUUAGCUGGUCUGAGAGGAUGAUCAGCCACACUGGAACUGAGACACGGUCCAGACUCCUACGGGAGGCAGCAGUAGGGAAUAUUGCGCAAUGGGGGCUACCCUGACGCAGCGACGCCGCGUGAGUGAUGAAGGCCUUCGGGUCGUAAAGCUCUGUUAUAUGGGAAUAAGAUCUGAAUGUACCAUGUGAGAAAGGAUCGGCUAACUUCGUGCCAGCCGCCGCAGUAA